rnacentral:rRNA from 1 species
CCUACGGGGGGCAGCAGUGGGGGAUAUUGCACAAUGGGGGAAACCCUGAUGCAGCGACGCCGCGUGAGUGAAGAAGUAUUUCGGUAUGUAAAGCUCUAUCAGCCGGGAAGAAAAUGACAGUACCUGACCAAGAAGCCCCGGCUAACUACGUGCCAGCAGCCGCGGUAAUACGUAGGGGGCAAGCGUUAUCCGGAUUUACUGGGUGUAAAGGGAGCGUAGGCGGUUAUGUAAGUCUGGAGUGAAAGCCCGGGGCCCAACCCCGGGACUGCUUUGGAAACUGUGUAACUGGAGUGCAGGAGGGGCAGGCGGAAUUCCUGGUGUAGCGGUGAAAUGCGUAGAUAUCAGGAGGAACACCGGCGGCGAAGGCGGCCUGCCGGGGUGCGACUGACGCUGAGGCUCGAAGGUGCGGGUAUCAAACAGGAUUAGAUACCCGAGUAGUC